rnacentral:rRNA from 1 species
CAGGGAGACAGGUGGUGCAUGGUUGCGUCAGCUCGUGUCGUGAGAUGUUGGGUUAAGUCCCGCAACGAGCGCAACCCCUACGUUUAGUUGCUAACAGGUGAAGCUGAGCACUCUAGACGAACUGCCGUUGACAAAACGGAGGAAGGUGGGAUGACGUCAAAUCAUCAUGCCCCUUAUGUUCUGGGCUACACACGUGCUACAAUGGCCGGUACAGACGGAGGCGAAGCCGCGAGGCGGAGCAAAUCCGAAAAAGCCGGUCUCAGUUCGGAUUGCAGGCUGCAAUUCGCCUGCAUGAAGUCGGAAUCGCUAGUAAUCGCAGGUCAGCAUACUGCGGUGAAUACGUUCUCGGGCCUU